rnacentral:rRNA from 1 species
CCAGACUCCUACGGGAGGCAGCAGUGAGGAAUAUUGGUCAAUGGUCGGGAGACUGAACCAGCCAAGCCGCGUGAGGGAUGAAGGUACAGAGUAUCGUAAACCUCUUUUGUCAGGGAACAAAGGCGGGGACGUGUCCCCGGAUGAGUGUACCUGAAGAAAAAGCAUCGGCUAACUCCGUGCCAGCAGCCGCGGUAAUACGGAGGAUGCGAGCGUUAUCCGGAUUUAUUGGGUUUAAAGGGUGCGCAGGCGGCGUGUCAAGUCAGCGGUAAAAUGUCGGGGCUCAACCCCGGCCGGCCGUUGAAACUGGCGGGCUGGAGUUGGAGAGAAGUACGCGGAAUGCGCGGUGUAGCGGUGAAAUGCUUAGAUAUCGCGCAGAACCCCGAUUGCGAAGGCAGCGUACCGGCUCCACACUGACGCUGAGGCACGAAAGUGCGGGGAUCGAACAGGAUUAGAUACCCCCGUA